rnacentral:rRNA from 1 species
CCUACGGGGGGCAGCAGUGGGGAAUAUUGCACAAUGGGCGCAAGCCUGAUGCAGCCAUGCCGCGUGUGUGAAGAAGGCCUUCGGGUUGUAAAGCACUUUCAGCGGGGAGGAAGGCGGUGAGGUUAAUAACCUCAUCGAUUGACGUUACCCGCAGAAGAAGCACCGGCUAACUCCGUGCCAGCAGCCGCGGUAAUACGGAGGGUGCAAGCGUUAAUCGGAAUUACUGGGCGUAAAGCGCACGCAGGCGGUCUGUCAAGUCGGAUGUGAAAUCCCCGGGCUCAACCUGGGAACUGCAUUCGAAACUGGCAGGCUAGAGUCUUGUAGAGGGGGGUAGAAUUCCAGGUGUAGCGGUGAAAUGCGUAGAGAUCUGGAGGAAUACCGGUGGCGAAGGCGGCCCCCUGGACAAAGACUGACGCUCAGGUGCGAAAGCGUGGGGAGCAAACAGGAUUAGUACCCGAGUAGUC